CUGUGUUUUGCCGUAAAUGAGCGACUACUGCGUAUCCCGUCGUCCUGUGCGCCUCGAACAGAAUCCUGCUCGUCCCCCCGCCGCCGCCGGGUACCAUAGGGCUUUUUCCCACCGCCGCCGGCCACCAUGACGCCAUGCCCCAUCAACGCUCGCUAGCCCCGACUACACACAACCUAUUCAGCUCCACCUUGUGUGCCGAACCCGUUGCUCAGAUGAGAUCCACGCUCGACAGUACGAUGGGAGGCGACACAAAUCUCUCCCCACCGCCGCUGGAACCGGAGACUCUACGCGGCGAGGAGCAGGAUUGGGUGUCGGCGCUGGGGGAGUCAGUUUCCUUCGGACGUUUCCUCUCUGAGCCGCUGGAGUGGGUGCCAUGGCGCAAAUCCUAGUUGUGCGUCCGCCUACCAUGGGUCAUGUCCAAUCAUCACCAGCAGCUGAGCUCGAUCUAUCGGUAGAAGGCAAUUUGUCAGUGCCGGUUGCAGCGGUCGGAGCUCGAUCUGCCUCCUCCAACUGUGGUGAUAUGUGCAUUGAGGGUUAUCGCCCAACCAAUAGUUGUAAUACGGCGGCAGCCCGUUCAUCAGGAAGUGCAGCACAUAUGGGAGGAUCCGAGCUCUAUCUGGUUAGUUUAUCCUCUAAUCUUGUAGUGUUCAUGCAAAGAUCUAGUUUUCGGAAUAAGAUUGUUCUGUGAGUUGUUGUCGUCACAGGCUGCAAAGAAAUGUAGCCCUUAAUGAGCGGAAGCAUGCCAUGAAAGAUUGUGCAGAAGUUUGAGCAUAUAUAGGCAUGCAAGAAUGCGCUUCUUUGUUUGACAAAUUCCUUCAACGAGUCAUGGGUUAGUAUUAGGCAGGGGCUAGAGUAUCACAACUUCUAGGCUUGAUGUGGCAAAAAAUUUAAAACUGAAAGACAACUGAAGCUAUUCUCAGUUCCGAGCAACUCGAGUUAGAAAAUUUUAAAGGCCCUUUAUCAAUUUUUAUAUGCAUCGCUAUGCUAUUACACAAUUUCAUGACAUCUAGUAACUAGUAUCACAUCUAUUAAAUAGUAUCAAGCAGGCUGAGUACCUGUCUAAGCAUUAUCGCAAGAAUUUUGUUGUCCUCUAACAGUCUCAUCCUUAAGAUCUGACGCUUGGUACAUAAGCAUUUGUUGAUAGCUUGGCACAAAUUCUUCCCUGGCCAAUCAUUAGGGGGUUGCACAUAGACUCAAUUAGCAGAUGCCAUUAUAUUAUUAUUUUUCAUUCCAGUUAGUUAAGCCAAAGAUUUAUUUAUUAUUUUGCUUCACUAGUGAUAUGUAAGACUGAGAUUUGAAAGGUGCAUAAGCUUCCACACCAACAAUUGUUGGGAACAACCAGAAUCGAUCAUGCAUUCUUCGGUCAAAACAUUUUCUGGAUUUGAAAAUAGUAUGGGCGCAAAUAACUGGGCUCCUUAGGUGAAAAGAUACAGUGACUUUGCUGUCAUUUAACAAAUAUUAUGAAUUAAUAAGAUGUCAACACUGUUAUUCUGAAUAAAAGAACGAUGAUGUGGAGGGGGAGUAACAAUAAUUUCAUACUUGGCAAGCUGAACUCAGUACAUGUUCAGUUGUUCACUGCUACGUUGUUGCUUAUGUAUGUGCCAGUAGGGUUGUACUGCUGUCCAAGUUCUUGCCAUUUCAAAUUUUUAUGGUGCGGCUACAUGUAGCUUCAGAUGCUUGUUAUAGCUAAUUGCCAGGAUAGUUAAGCUUACAUUCUUAGCUUUGUGGUUUGUUGGUGUCCAGUGCACAUGCUAAUGGUGACUUGUAGGGCAAAUAAAUUAGAUGCAAAAUUAUGAUUGACGGCUAUGCAGCGAAAUCAGAACUAGUGGCUCCUAUCAUGUGACGAAUGUAUUUGGAAAAAGAAACUCAGGAAGGAACUAUGUACAAGUGCACAAAGGAGUUUUGCUCAGGCAGAAAGCAAAAUUGAAAAAGGCAUGCAACAGGUUUUUCAGAUUAAUAUUCUGCAAUCAUAAAUAUCAUGUUCAAUUAGAACUGCAGAUCUUUCUCUGAAAGGAUGUCAUAUUGUGAACAACAACCUUUUGUAUCUACAACAAAAUUUUGCUAUCUGCACUUACUUGCAACAGCUGCAUAAUUUUCUCUCAUUUUCCUCGCGGUGGAUCUUCUUUUUCUUUAAUUGUGCAGCACCAACAACUGCCGAUUUAAUUACCACUGUCGUUUCCACAGACAUGAGCAGGCUGUUACGAAGAAGGUGAACAACCUGGACCUAGGCGGCGAGGGGGAGCUCGGGAAGGCUAUGGGACCUGAGAGCAUCUUCAAGUCCAGGUUAUGCAUGAGCUUUCUCUCCAGCGAGUCAUGCGCCUUCGGCGGCAGAUGCUCCUUUCGCCCGUGCCAAUGUUGAGUUGCGCAGUCCUGCUGCAUCUCAAGAAGUCGAAGACCAAGUGGUUCUCAUGGUGUUCAUGAUGAUUAUGCGUCUGUUAUUUUGCGGAAAUGCCUAAACAAAAAACUUUUCUUGUCUAUUUUUUGUCGUAGUCCAUUUUUUCGGUUCAAUGAAUUCAUGAUAGGCAAGGCAUAAAAAAUGGAGUGAACAGAAAUUCAUUUGUAAACUCGAGAUAUUAAUAUUAGAGCAUCAAGCAUGUAAAUCGCUGUACUAAUGAGGCAGCCCAUGUUUUGGCAAAAUCUGGUGAAGAUGAUGCUAGGUCCUGCUUGUAUAAUACUGUACCUGAUGUUAUCAGGAGAUUGUUUGUAAUGAUGAGAUUAUGAAUGAAUGAAAGGGUUCUGCCCAUUGUCCCAAAA